rnacentral:rRNA from 1 species
GCCUCAGUAGCGGCGAGUGAAGCGGCAAAAGCUCAAAUUUGAAAUCUGGCGUCUUUGGCGUCCGAGUUGUAAUUUGAAGAAGGUAUCUUUGGGCCCGGCUCUUGUCUAUGUUCCUUGGAACAGGACGUCACAGAGGGUGAGAAUCCCGUGCGAUGAGAUGACCCGGGUCUGUGUAAAGUUCCUUCGACGAGUCGAGUUGUUUGGGAAUGCAGCUCUAAGUGGGUGGUAAAUUCCAUCUAAAGCUAAAUAUUGGCGAGAGACCGAUAGCGAACAAGUACAGUGAUGGAAAGAUGAAAAGAACUUUGAAAAGAGAGUGAAAAAGUACGUGAAAUUGUUGAAAGGGAAGGGCUUGAGAUCAGACUUGGUAUUUUGCAUGUUGCUCUCUCGGGGGCGGCCGCUGCGGUUUACCGGGCCAGCAUCGGUUUGGAGCGGCAGGAUAAUGGCGGAGGAAUGUGGCACGGCUUCUGCUGUGUGUUAUAGCCUCUGACGAUACUGCCAGCCUAGACCGAGGACUGCGGUUUUUACCUAGGAUGUUGGCAUAAUGAUCUUAAGUCGCCCGUCUUGAAACACGGACCAAGGA